AUUGUUCGACACCUGGUCGACUAGAGACAGACACAGUCAUUUGGCACGCCAAGCCUACAGAAAGGCUGUGACAUAACAUAGUUACGAUCGUCAAAAUGAAGCUAUAGCUAGAUCAGACCACACAAAAACACGUAGCAGAUCAUACAGAAGCCCCAGUGAUCGACUCGCAGUAGCUCACCUUUCCUUGGGUUCGGAGCUAUCGUCUAUACAAGAUGCCCGCAGGAGACGCUAACUCCUACCGCUAACAGCCUACCGGACAACCUGAAGACCGGAGGUUUCAGUGGCACCAAAAGGCCAGAAGUAAACGUUAGGUUG